rnacentral:rRNA from 1 species
CCUACGGGAGGCAGCAGUGAGGAAUAUUGGUCAAUGGGCGCGAGCCUGAACCAGCCAAGUCGCGUGAGGGAAGACGGUCCUAUGGAUUGUAAACCUCUUUUGUCGGGGAGCAAAAGACGCCACGCGUGGCGUUCCGAGAGUACCCGAAGAAAAAGCAUCGGCUAACUCCGUGCCAGCAGCCGCGGUAAUACGGAGGAUGCGAGCGUUAUCCGGAUUGAUUGGGUUUAAAGGGUGCGCAGGCGGAAGAUCAAGUCAGCGGUAAAAUUGAGAGGCUCAACCUCUUCGAGCCGUUGAAACUGGUUUUCUUGAGUGAGUGAGAAGGAUGCGGAAUGCGUGGUGUAGCGGUGAAAUGCAUAGAUAUCACGCAGAACUCCGAUUGCGAAGGCAGCAUACCGGCGCUCAACUGACGCUCAUGCACGAAAGUGUGGGGAUCGAACAGGAUUAGAUACCCGAGUAGUC